AGAGCACAUUAGCGUUGGUUUCUCUACCCCUGCCCGGGUUCGGGCGUGCGUUCUGUGAGUGGCUCUCCGGGACAUUCAAAGCUCGACGCCAGGGUCCUAGCAGAAGCCAGGGUCCGAAAGCUAAGCGAGAGCUCUGGGACGUCCCUUCACCUGUCAGAGGGUGGCCUUGGGGCUUCCGCCUAAGGGGAGUCCCUGGUCCGGUUUCGCCAGCUUUUGGGCCAUUUGGGGAGUUUGGCGAAGAGGUCCCCACAGCUCGCCCCGGGGACGUACGUGGCGCGGCACUCACCUUCAUCGUCGGCGUCUCCUCGGAAGUGAGCGUUCAGAGAAGGAGCGCAGGCAGAAGUCACCGCGGGCGGCGGAGACGCGCGUCCUGCACCGCUGCUCCGGGCGGUGGAGUCACUCGCCGCUGGCAAGUUUCGGCCCCGAGUUAAACAUUAGUGAGCGCCGAGCCCGCUGGGUAUAAAGGCGCCGCGGGCAGGCUGCAGGGCAGGCGGCGCGGGAGCAGGCGCGCGUGGCGCGGGGCACUGGCAUCCCGGCCGGGGGGAGCCCGCGAGGGCCCCCUGAGGGCGGUGUAGGGCGCUGGGCGGCAGCCGGGGCGCAGAGUGCGGGGCCCGGAGGAGCCGUGGGGGAGGGGAAAGGGCGCGCGGCCUCGGAUGCGCAGACCCUGGGCCGGCGACUCGGGGACCCUGCUCCCUCUUAGCUAAAAAUGACGUCGGCGUUCAGCUCCUCCAACCUCACGUGGACAGGCGAGGGAACCGAGACCCAGAGAGGGCAGGGGACUUUGGCAAACUCACACAGCCCACCGCAGGCAACUGGAACUGAAACCCAGGACUCCGUCUCUUGCCAGUGAAAGUUAUGUUAGGAAGCAGUGAGGGGUCUAAAGCAGUAUGAAAGGCAAAGAGAAAAGGUGAUUGUUCCCUCUUGAAUGGCCCUUGGAAGCUGAGUAUCUGGAUUCACCCUCCCUAGGGAAUUUCCCGAUUGUCUUGCAGGCUUACACACUCAUCAAGAUGACAAAAAUAAUGACAGUAACACUUAUGUGGAACUUGACUUUUUCCCAGGUGCUGCUCUAAGCAUUUACUGUGUUUGUUUUACAGGAAGGAAGACUGUACACAGAGAAUAAAUAACUUGGCCAAGCCAUUCAGCUAGGAAGUUGUAGAUCCUAAAUUAAGAGUUCAAGGUCUUAAUGGCUACUCUAUGCGGCCUCUCAUAGUCUUUUCAAGGGUUUUGGAGAAGAAUAAAAGAUCAGGUAUGGCUUCUCCCUCCCCCAGCUCUCUAUUGUUCCCUAAAGGAUUAUUCAUUCGUUCAUUCAUUCCUACAUCCUCCCAUUUAUUCCAGUCAUCCACAGAUGUUUGAGUGGUUACAAUGUGCCAGCCUCCCUUCUAGGUACUGGAGAUAAAGUGGGACAAGAGAGGUGAGGUCUGGACCCUUGGCACUUUCACGAUAAAAUACACAGGUAAACAUUUGCCUUUAGGGCCCCCUGUGAUUACUUCCACUCUUGCAGAUAAGAGGAUAAGGCCUCUUCAGCUUGUUCACAGCAGCUGAAAAGCAAAGCCUCUCUGUCAGUAGAGGUAAAAGAUUAAGAAUGCAGAGUCCGAUGGGGCAUUACCACAUGAUUAUGAAUUAAUGCAAUUUUCCAUCUUUUAUUUCCAAUCCAGGCAUUGCUUUUGAACUCAGUCAUCUUUUCCCCCUUGCCCACUAGUUGCUUGUGAUACAUCAGUAUCCUCACUCACCCCCAACUCCAGAGGCUGAAACUAACUCUCCUCCUCCCUCUUCCAACUGCUGAGGAAGAUGAGUCAAUGGUGUUACUGGACCCUGUGAACUGAUGCUGUGAAGAGAGGCCAUUUAACACGGACUACGGGGAAUGGUGCCACAGGGGGCUCAGUGCUGCCCUUCACUCUCAGCAUUUUGCUCACUCAGCAUUGAUGACAGGAUGUCCCAAAAGUAACAAAAGAUGGGAGCCAGUCCUCUCAUAGCUGUUUCUUCAAUCAUCCCAUCAACAGCUCUUCAUUUAUUGAACUACCUUCCUUUUCCAAAGAGGUAAUGCUGAGAUCAGUCAGAAAGGCUUUCUGAGAAAACUGGCUUGGAUUUCUGGGUCUGUUGCAGUCAAUUCAAGAUGAACUGGCUUGUAUCAAUGAAGCGCUCAAUGCAGUUCACAAAACAGGCCUCAGCCCGACUGUCCAACUUUGGCCCAGGCUUGUCCAUGCACUUCUCCCAACAAAGUUCAGUCAUCUGGUGCACCAGCUGCUGGAAGCGCUGCUUUUGAGUCUCUACCUCAAUGAAAAUGCUGCAACUGCGGGUCCACUGCACCCAAACCCGCCGCAGAGGAAGAGCAGGAGGAAUCCAUCCCAGGACAACCAUGCUUGCAGAGACGAACUCCGCACCAACCUUCACGUGUCUCCACGACCUAGUUAAUCAAUUUAAAAUGAGGUCACUAGGGUGGGCCCCAAUCCAAUAUGACUGAUAACUUUAUAAAAAGGAGAGAUUUGGAUACAGAAAGAGACAGAGUGAAAACCAUGUGAAGAAACAUAGGAAAAGAUGGCAGCUACAAGCCAAGGAGAAGCUUGCAGUGUGUAUUCAUCUGUUCUCAUGCUGUUAAUAAAGACAUACCUGAGACUGGGUAAUUUAUAAAGGAAAGAAACUUAAUUGACUCACACUUCCACAUGCUGGGGAUGCCUCACAAUCACGCCUGAAGGCGAAUGAGGAGUAAAGUCAUGUCUUACAUGGUGGCAGGCAAGAGAGCUUGUGUAGGGGAACUCCCCUUUAUAAAAUCAUCAGAUCUUGUGAGACUUAUUCACUAUCACAAGUACAGCACAGGAAAGACCUACCCCCAUGAUUCAAUUACCUCCCACUAGGUCCCUCCCACAAUACAUGGGAAUCAUGGGAGCUAUAAUUCAAGAUGAGAUUUGGGUGGGGACACAGCCAAACCAUAUCAUUCCAUCCCUGGUCCCUCCCAAAUCUCAUGUCCUCACACUUCAAAACCAAUCAUGCCAUGCUAACAGUCCCCCAAGUCUUAACUCAUUUCAGCAUUGACUCAAAAGUCCACAGUCCAAAGUUUCAUCUGAGACAAAGCAAGUCCCUUCUGCCUACGACUCUGUAAAAUCACUAGCAAGUUAGUUACUUCCUAGAUAUAAUGGGGUUAUAGGUGUUGGGUAAAUACAACCAUUCCAAAUGGGAGAAAUUGGCCAAAAUGAAGGGGCUACAGGUGCCAUGCAAAUCUGAAAUCCAGCAGGUCAGUCAAAUCUUAAAGCUCCAAAAUUAUCUCCUUUGACUCCAUGUCUCACAUCCAAGUCAUGCUAAUGCAAGAGGUGGGUUGCCAUGGUCUUGGGCAGCUCUGCCCCUGUAGUUUUGCAGGGUUCAGGCCCCCUCCUGGCUGCUUUCACAGGCUGGCGUUGAGUAUAUGUGGCUUUUCCAGUUACACGGAACAAGCUGUCCCUGGAUCUACCAUUCUGGGGGCUGGAGGAUGGUGGCCCUCUUCUCACAGCUCCACUAGGCAGUGCCCCAGUGGAGACUCUGUGUGGGGGCUCAUAUCCCACAUUUCCCUUCUGCACUGCCCUAGUAGAGGUUCUCCAUGAUGGUUCUGCUCCUAUAGUACACCUCUGCUUGGGCAUCUGGGAGUUUCCAUUCAUCCUCUGAAAUCUAGGCAUAGGUUCCCAAACCUCAAUUCUUGAUUUCUGUGCACCCACAUGCCCAACACCACAUGUAAGCUGCCAAGGCAUGGGGCUUGCUUCUCUGAAGCAAUGGCUUGAGCUCUACAUUGGCCCCUUUUAGCCACAGCUGGGACACAGGGCACCAAGUCCUGAGACUGCACAAAGAAGCAAGGCCCUUGGCCUAGCCCAUGAAACCAUUUUUGCCUCCUAGGCCUCCUGGCUUG
rnacentral:lncRNA from 10 species